GCAGUCGUGGCCGAGUGGUUAAGGCGAUGGACUCGAAAUCCAUUGGGGUCUCCCCGCACAGGCUCGAAUCCUGUCGACUGCG
rnacentral:tRNA from 1 species